UAAACGGGAUUAGAUACCCUGGUAGUCCACGCCGUAAACGAUGUCGACUUGGAGGUUGUUCCCUUGAGGAGUGGCUUCCGGAGCUAACGCGUUAAGUCGACCGCCUGGGGAGUACGGCCGCAAGGUUAAAACUCAAAUGAAUUGACGGGGGCCCGCACAAGCGGUGGAGCAUGUGGUUUAAUUCGAUGCAACGCGAAGAACCUUACCUACUCUUGACAUCCACGGAAUUCGGCAGAGAUGCCUUAGUGCCUUCGGGAACCGUGAGACAGGUGCUGCAUGGCUGUCGUCAGCUCGUGUUGUGAAAUGUUGGGUUAAGUCCCGCAACGAGCGCAACCCUUAUCCUUUGUUGCCAGCGAUUCGGUCGGGAACUCAAAGGAGACUGCCGGUGAUAAACCGGAGGAAGGUGGGGAUGACGUCAAGUCAUCAUGGCCCUUACGAGUAGGGCUACACACGUGCUACAAUGGCGCAUACAAAGAGAAGCGACCUCGCGAGAGCAAGCGGACCUCAUAAAGUGCGUCGUAGUCCGGAUCGGAGUCUGCAACUCGACUCCGUGAAGUCGGAAUCGCUAGUAAUCGUGGAUCAGAAUGCCACGGUGAAUACGUUCCCGGGCCUUGUACACACCGCCCGUCACACCAUGGGAGUGGGUUGCAAAAGAAGUAGGUAGCUUAACCCUCGGGAGGGCGCUUACCACUUUGUGAUUCAUGACUGGGGUGAAGUCGUAACAAGGUAACCA
rnacentral:rRNA from 1 species